rnacentral:rRNA from 1 species
CCUACGGGUGGCAGCAGUGGGGAAUAUUGCGCAAUGGGCGAAAGCCUGACGCAGCGACGCCGCGUGAGGGAUGAAGGUCUUCGGAUUGUAAACCUCUGUCAUGUGGGAGCAAAUUUAAAAGACAUUACCACAAGUGUACGUGCCGUCUAACUCUGUGCCAGCCGCCGCGGUAAUAAAGAGGUCUAUAGCGUUGUUCGGCUUCACUGGGCGUAAAGCGUGCGGAGGCGGUUUCGUAAGUGGUGUGUGAAAGGCGCGGGCUCAACCCGCGGACGGCAGAUGAUACUGCGAGACUAGAGUAAAGGAGAGGGAAGCGGAAUGCUCGGUGUAGCAGUGAAAUGCGUAGAUAUCGAGAGGAACACUCGUGGCGAAGGCGGGUUACUGGACAGUAACUGACGCUGAGGCACGAAGGCGAGGGGAGCGAAAGGGAUUAGAUACCCGGGUAGUC